GAGCUGUAUUCAUUAGGAGUUCUGAUAGAACGAAACAAUAAAAUUAUGCACGCAGUAACUCAAAAGGGUUAUUCUAAUUAAUGAAAGAGACUACUCGUUUUACCUUGUCAACUAGGCUACAUUUUCUUGGAGAGUUCUUUGAGAAUUUAUUUUUCAAUGUGCUAAACUGAUAUGAGAGAGUGCGCAUAUAAAAUCACUGAUGAAGGGAACAAUGAGUGCCAAUGUAUAGAUAGUACUAAAAGGAAAUUGAUCAUUUGCAGGCUUCCAGUGUAGUUGCUAAUAGAGUCAAUUGGAUUACUAUUUGUGUAUUCACAAUAUGUCCAAGGGAGGGAUUCUUAUAUUGGUGAUUUCUGAGUCAAUUCCACUACUUUUCUUUUUUUGGCUUGUUUCAGGAAGUCGUUCAAAUAACUAAG
rnacentral:lncRNA from 1 species